GACGUAGGAGGCGAGCGUUAUCCGGAUUCACUGGGCGUAAAGCGCAUGUAGGCGGUUGGAUAAGUCCGGUGUUAAAGCCCCUGGCUCAACUGGGGGAGGUCAAUGGAGACUAUUCGACUUGAGGGCAACAGAGGCACAUGGAACUCCCGGUGUAGCGGUGGAAUGCGUAGAGAUCGGGAAGAACACCUGUGGCGAAAGCGGCGCACUGGACCACAACUGACGCUGAGGCGCGAAAGCUAGGGGAGCAAACAGG
rnacentral:rRNA from 1 species